GGGAGGGGAGGAACUGAUGGGAGCCGUGGGGCCGCAGCUGGAGAGGGGCAGCCAAGGCCGGACCGCGGAGGACGUUCCUGGGACUCGCCUCGGCCUGGUGACUUCCAUCUCUCACCAACAGAAGCACACUUACCGAUGUCACGGGGGACAGCGUAUAAAUAAGUAUAAAUAUGUACAAAUCAUAUAUUUAAAAAAAAAGAAAAAAAAAAAAAACACACACACAAAAAUAACAAACCCCAACCACCAGUGAAGACAAACCAAUGUGCGUUGGGGGGAAACAAACCCAAAUCCUAGAGACCAGACUCCAAUCCCACCGCCAGUGAGCAGUAGUCAGAACUGAGGAGGAGGAAGCAGGGGGCUGUUGGGGAAGGGAGUGGCGUCACAUUGGGUUUCCCAUCCAGAGAAGCCUCCGGCAGCGACCACCUUGAUCUUCUUUUCUUCCUUGACUCCCUCCUGCCCGGCCCCUCCUGCUGCCCUGCUCCCUUCUCUGCUCGUGGCCUGGUGGAAGCCUCCGCAGCCGCUGACCGUGGUGUCCAGGUGUCGCUCUGCCAACUACCAAAGGACUUCGCUGACCACUGCAUGGGGGAUCCGACGCAAUCCAGUUAAUGUCUUCAUAUUGAAGAAGAGAUGUACCUUCAAUAGAAAAAAACUUUUGGGUUUUUUUUUCUUUUGCUUGCAUUUUUUUUGCAAAAAGGGAAAAAAAAAAAACAAAAACACCACACACACAAAAAAAAAAAAGCCGUACUAAAAAAAACAAAACAAAUUCCAUCAUGGCAAAUGGAAAGAGGUGUUCCCAUGUGUGUGUGUGCGCGCGUGUACGUUGUCAACCUACUGUGGACUUGCUGCUUGCCCGUGACCAGAGAUCACCACCGACCUCAAUGCAGGCGGGAGGAGGAGCCGCGGUGCGUGGGUACUGGGUUGUGGAGGAGGAGGAGGAGGAGAGAUGCUCUGGGGAAGAGACUGCUGAGGCUUCCACAGCCUCGGGGAUCUGCAGAAGAUGGCUACGGAGAACUUUAUUUCCCCUAUCUUGUGGACCUAAGGAUUUUGAUAUUGAGUUACGGACUUAGGUUUCAUGGCUUCAGAGGGGCACAGAAGCACCGGCAGCACUGCCGCCUCCUCCACCGACGAGCAGGGCUGUGAGAUGGUGGGACCUGCAGCACCCCGUCCUGUACAUAACCCGUGAGCUGUCUGUAACAGGUUUUCAACCCCUUGUAAUUUCUUUUAAUUUCGGUUUUUCUUUGGUUUUUUUUCUCUUUUUUUUUUUUUUUGCCCCUUCCCCGGUUUGUCAAUUGUGUUGAAAUUGUCGGAGUUUGUAAUGGUAACUUUCAGAGGAUAUUGUACUAAAGAGAGAAUUGCACUCAAUAAAAAUUAUGAAAUAA